UACGUAGGUGACAAGCGUUGUCCGGAUUUAUUGGGUGUAAAGGGCGCGUAGGCGGUUUUUAAGUCGGAUGUGCAAUCCCUGGGCUCAACCCAGGAACUGCAUCCGAGACUGGAAGGCUAGAGUACUGGAGAGGGUGGUGGAAUUCCUCGUGUAGCGGUGAAAUGCGUAGAGAUGAGGAGGAACAGCAGUGGCGAAGGCGGCCACCUGGACAGUAACUGACGCUGAGGCGCGAAAGCGUGGGUAGCAAGCAGG
rnacentral:rRNA from 1 species